GCCUCGGUAGCGCAGUAGGUAGCGCGUAAGUCUCAUAAUCUUAAGGUCGUGAGUUCGAUCCUCACCCGGGCGGGGGCA